rnacentral:lncRNA from 1 species
CAUGUAACCUGAACAGAUGAGGCUCUGGAAGGAAGCAGGCUGUGCAUUCCCUGACAGCCCUUUCCCUGAGGGGAUGAAGCAGAAAGGUGAAGGAAACAUCCCAUGGAAAGCCAUCUCCAAGCUCCUCAGAUUGGGAAAACACAUAUCGAAAUCAGGAGGCCAGAUUGAAUUAGCCUCUCCACUCUCAGGCUCCUUUGCCACUUGCUCCAUCCAGGGCUCAUCCUGGGCUUCUCUGUCUGCUCCCUCCCCUGCUGGACUCUGCUGAAGCCAAACCACAGGGUGUGAGUCAGGCUUUCCCAGGGCCGACCUAUGCAACCUGGAAGUGCAGGGCUUAGCUGCCCAUGGGACAAACCUUGACUUACAGGACACAAAAGAUACAAGGGAGCUAGCAAAUAAAUCGCCUCUCCACUCUUCCCUCCAGUGGAUGGUUCUGAAGCAUGAUAUUCCUGUGUAACCUGUCUAGAUUCAUCCUGUGGAGUCAAGCACCUAGCUGUGUGCCUUGUGAAACAGCAGCCGGUUCAAAAAGCCACCUUCUCUACCUCCUUUCUCUUUCCCUUCAUUCUGGCUUCCCUGGGAUUGUACCUCUUAAUAAAAUUUUAACACUUAA